UAGGGAAUAUUGCAAAAUGGGCGCAAGCCUGAUGCAGCAACGCCGCGUGAGUGAUGAAGGCCUUCGGGUCGUAAAACUCUUUUGGAGGGGAUGAGGAAGGACAGUACCCUCUGAAUAAGCCUCGGCUAACUACGUGCCAGCAGCCGCGGUAAAACGUAGGAGGCGAGCGUUAUCCGGAUUUACUGGGUGUAAAGCGCGUGCAGGCGGUUGAGAAAGUUGGAUGUAAAAGCUCCCGGCUCAACUGGGAGAGGUCGUUCAAAACUACUCAACUAGAGGCAGGUAGAGGAAGGCGGAAUUCCGGGUGUAGUGGUGAAAUGCGUAGAUAUCCGGAGGAACACCAGUGGCGAAAGCGGCCUUCUGGGCCUGAACUGACGCUCAGACGCGAAAGCUAGGGUAGCAA
rnacentral:rRNA from 1 species